AUGUUGGGCAAAACUGACCGCUGCUCUCCGAGAUAUUUAGAGACGGGGUUUUCCAGAGACCUCAGCGCCUGCAGUGGGGUCUGGAGGCCGCAGCCUCCUGCCCCAGCGGGCGGCCGGGGGGCGGCGGGGCCAGCGCCGGGGACUCCGGCCAGGCCAAGGUGGGCGGCCCCCGGUACCCCCAGCUGGGCGGCCCCCGGCUCCCCUCCCCCCAGGUGGGCAGCCCCCGGUCCCCCAGGUGAGCGGAUCCCGGUCUCCCCUCCCCCAGGUGGGCGGACCCCGGUCUCCCCUCCCCCAGGUGGGCGGACCCCGGUCUCCCCUCCCCCAGGUGGGCGGACCCCGGUCUCCCCUCCCCCAGGUGGGCGGAUCCCGGUCUCCCCUCCCCCAGGUGGGCGGACCCCGGUCUCCCCUCCCCCAGGUGGGCGGAUCCCGGUCUCCCCUCCCCCAGGUGGGCGGACCCCGGUCUCCCCUCCCCCAGGUGGGCGGACCCCGGUCUCCCCUCCCCCAGGUGGGCGGCCCCCCGCUCCCCUCCCCCAGGUGGGCGGACCCCGGCCUCCCCUCCCCCAGGUGGGUAGACCCCGGCCUCCCCUCCCCCAGGUGGGCGGCCCCCCCGCUCCCCUCCCCCAGGUGGGUAGACCCCGGUCUCCCCUCCCCCAGGUGGGCGGACCCCGGUCUCCCCUCCCCCAGGUGGGCGGCCCCCCGCUCCCCUCCCCCAGGUGGGCGGACCCCGGUCUCCCCUCCCCCAGGUGGGCGGACCCCGGUCUCCCCUCCCCCAGGUGGGCGGAUCCCGGUCUCCCCUCCCCCAGGUGGGCGGACCCCGGUCUCCCCUCCCCCAGGUGGGCGGACCCCGGUCUCCCCUCCCCCAGGUGGGCGGCCCCCCGCUCCCCUCCCCCCAGAUGGGCGGACGGACCCCAGUCUCCCCUCCCCCAGGUGGGCGGCCCCCGGUCUCCCCUCCCCCCAGGUGGACAGCCCCCGGUCCCCCAGGUGAGCGGACCCCGGUCUCCCCUCCCCCCAGGUGGGCGGCCCCCCGCUCCCCUCCGCCAGGUGAAGGACCCCGGCCUCCCCUCCCCCAGGUGGGCGGACCCCGGUCUCCCCUCCCCCAGGUGGGCGGACCCCGGUCUCCCCUCCCCCAAGUGGGCGGACGGACCCCCGGUCUCCCCUCCCCCCAGGAGGGCGGCCCCGUCCCGACCACCGGGAGGAAUCCCCCACCCCGGGGCCCAGAGCGGGGCGGGG
rnacentral:lncRNA from 12 species